rnacentral:snRNA from 1 species
AUACUUUCCUGGCAGGGGAGAUACCAGGAUCACGAAGGUGGUUUUCCCAGGGCCAGGCUUAUCCAUUGCACUCUGAUAUGCUGACCCCUGUGAUUUCCCCAAAUGUGGGAAACUUGACUACAUAAUUUGUGGUAGUUGGGGACUGUAUUCACGACCUCCCU